UACGUAGGGAGCAAGCGUUGUCCGGAAUCAUUGGGCGUAAAGCGCGCGUAGGUGGCCUCAUAAGUCCGCUGUGAAAGUCAAAGGCUCAACCUUUGAAAGCCGGUGGAUACUGUGGGGCUAGAGUACGGAAGAGGCGAGUGGAAUUCCUGGUGUAGCGGUGGAAUGCGCAGAUAUCAGGAGGAACACCAAUAGCGAAGGCAGCUCGCUGGGACGUUACUGACGCUGAGGCGCGAAAGCGUGGGGAGCGAACAGG
rnacentral:rRNA from 1 species